UACAGAGGGUGCGAGCGUUAGUCGGAAUUACUGGGCGGAAAGCGUGCGUAGACGGCUAUCUAAGUCGGGUGUGAAAGCCCCGGGCUCAACCUGGGAAUUGCAUUCGAGACUGAAUAGCUAGGGUACGGUAGAGGGAAGUGGAAUUUCCGGUGUAGCGGUGAAAUGCGUAGAUAUCGGAAGGAACAUCAGUGGCGAAAGCGACUUCCUGGACCAGUACCGACGUUCAGGCACGAAAGCGUGGGGAGCAAACAGG
rnacentral:rRNA from 1 species